rnacentral:rRNA from 1 species
CCAAAUGGAGAGUUUGAUCCUGGCUCAGGAUGAACGCUGGCGGUCUGCUUAACACAUGCAAGUCGAACGGGACUCUAUUGAGUUUCAGUGGCGGACGGGUGAGUAACGCGUGAGAAUCUGCCUAGAGGUUGGGGACAACCACUGGAAACGGUGGCUAAGACCCAAUGUGCAAGUUCUGUGAAAGAUUUAUCGCCUCUAGAUGAGCUCGCGUCUGAUUAGCUAGUUGGUGAGGUAAAGGCUCACCAAGGCUCCGAUCAGUAGCUGGUCUGAGAGGAUGACCAGCCACACUGGGACUGAGA